UUAUCCAAUUAUUUUUCAGAUUACCCUGUACACACGUAGAUAUACAACGAAAUAAUAUAUGGCGGUUAUAUCGUUAACGUUCAUUCUUGCUAUCACUGCAUAUAAUACUAUAAUAUCCACAAUGAUGAAGAGAGUGAAAGAGAUUGACUAGGCACGAGCUAUGAUGCGAUCCAAGUAUGCUCUGAACGUUUUCUCUGCGUAUAAAUGCGUGUUGAGGGAUUGAAUAGGAAAUGGAUGGAUAAUAAUUACAUAAAGAGGUAGAAGCAACGAUGGAAAAACGAGUGGAUGAAUCAACAGCAUGAAAAUUCAAUUGGAUAUAUACUUUAAUUAACAAGAUGCUCUCCGACAUUAUUAUACAACUGUCUGCAGGUACAAAUAGGGAAAAUUAGCGGGCAGAAUAAGAAGUGGUGAAAGAAUGUAGCGAUAAAGGAAGAUAGAAGAAUGUGAGAGAAAGGCAGAAAAUAUACAUAUAUAUAAAUUAUAUAUAUGUACAUAUAUAUAUAUAUAUAGAGAGAGAGAGAGAAAGAGCUGCAGCAAAAGCCUGAGCCACCUGCAGAGUUUUUCCGCUACUUCCAGGUAACCAGUUUCACUGUACCUUUGUUGCGAGGGUGGAGCUGGGGUUUCAGAUCCCGAUUGCAAAAAUCCUCUUUGCAGCACUCGAUGACAAAGGUCGUGUUUCGCGAGUCGCUCGUCAUGCAGAAGAUGAGCGGCUCGGGCUGCGACGACGACAGCUGUUUAUUCACGCACCUUCAAGCCGAGUUUGCACCAUUUUCAGAAUACAAAAAAA